rnacentral:rRNA from 1 species
UACGGAGGGGGCUAGUGUUGUUCGGAAUUACUGGGCGUAAAGCGCGUGUAGGUGGCGCCGUAAGUCGGGUGUGAAAUUUCGGAGCUUAACUCCGAAACUGCAUUCGAUACUGCGGUGCUUGAGGACUGGAGAGGAGACUGGAAUUCAUGGUGUAGCAGUGAAAUGCGUAGAGAUCAUGAGGAAGACCAGUGGCGAAGGCGGGUCUCUGGACAGUUCCUGACACUGAGACACGAAGGCCAGGGGAGCAAACGGG